GUCUGCAGAUAUGAAACCAACAAAAACGCCACUGAGCGACGGGGAUGUGGGUGGGGGACAAGAAUGAAUGGACCGACAUUCAGGGGGUGAUGCGCCCCUGAAACAACCGGAGCUUGGACCAGGCAGGAUUUUAUCCAAAUGAAGUCCUUUCCAAGGUUUGGAGUCGAGCACCACCGCACGUCGAGAAAGACAAAAGGCAGCCCGGGAGCCGACGACGCCACCCCUAAACUGCAAAAAGAAGCCUUACAUAAAU